CCUACGGGUGGCAGCAGUGGGGAAUAUUGGGCAAUGGGCGCAAGCCUGACCCAGCAACGCCGCGUGAAGGAAGAAGGCUUUCGGGUUGUAAACUUCUUUUUUCAGGGACGAAGCAAGUGACGGUACCUGACGAAUAAGCCACGGCUAACUACGUGCCAGCAGCAGCGGUAAUACGGAGGUGGCAAGCGUUAUCCGGAUUUACUGGGUGUAAAGGGCGUGUAGGCGGGGAAGUAAGUCAGAUGUGAAAUCCACGGGCUCAACCUGUGGCUUGCAUUUGAAACUGUUUUUCUUGAGUACUGGAGAGGCAGGCGGAAUUCCUGGUGUAGCGGUGAAAUGCGUAGAUAUUAGGAAGAACACCGAUGGCGAAGGCAGUCUACUAAACAGCAACUGACGCUGAGGCGCGAAAGCGUGGGGAGCAAACAGGAUUAGAUACCCUGGUAGUC
rnacentral:rRNA from 1 species